GAUGAACGCUGGCGGCGUGCCUAAUACAUGCAAGUCGAGCGAACAGACGAGGAGCUUGCUCCUCUGACGUUAGCGGCGGACGGGUGAGUAACACGUGGAUAACCUACCUAUAAGACUGGGAUAACUUCGGGAAACCGGAGCUAAUACCGGAUAAUAUAUUGAACCGCAUGGUUCAAUAGUGAAAGACGGUUUUGCUGUCACUUAUAGAUGGAUCCGCGCCGCAUUAGCUAGUUGGUAAGGUAACGGCUUACCAAGGCAACGAUGCGUAGCCGACCUGAGAGAGUGAUCGGCCACACGGGAACUGAGACACGGUCCAGACUCCUACGGGAGGCAGCAGUAGGGAAUCUUCCGCAAUGGGCGAAAGCCUGACGGAGCAACGCCGCGUGAGUGAUGAAGGUCUUCGGAUCGUAAAACUCUGUUAUUAGGGAAGAACAAAUGUGUAAGUAACUAUGCACGUCUUGAGGGUACCUAAUCAGAGAGCCGCGGCUAACUACGUG
rnacentral:rRNA from 1 species